GACGAACGCGGGCGGCGUGCUUAAUACAUGCAAGUAGAACGCACAGUUUAUACCGUAGCUUGCUACACCAUAGACUGUGAGUUGCGAACGGGUGAGUAACGCGUAGGUAACCUGCCUGGUAGCGGGGGAUAACUAUUGGAAACGAUAGCUAAUACCGCAUAAUAUUAAUUAUUGCAUGAUAAUUGAUUAAAAGGUGCAAUUGCACCACUACCAGAUGGACCUGCGUUGUAUUAGCUAGUAGGUGAGGUAACGGCUCACCUAGGCGACGAUACAUAGCCGACCUGAGAGGGUGAUCGGCCACACUGGGACUGAGACACGGCCCAGACUCCUACGGGAGGCAGCAGUAGGGAAUCUUCGGCAAUGGACGAAAGUCUGACCGAGCAACGCCGCGUGAGUGAAGAAGGUUUUCGGAUCGUAAAGCUCUGUUGUAAGAGAAGAACGGGUGUGAGAGUGGAAAGUUCACACUGUGACG
rnacentral:rRNA from 1 species